UACGUAGGGUGCAAGCGUUGUCCGGAAUUAUUGGGCGUAAAGAGCUCGUAGGCGGUUUGUCGCGUCGAAUGUGAAAUCUCAGGGCUCAACUCUGACAUUGCAUUCGAUACGGGCAGGCUAGAGUUCGGUAGGGGAGACUGGAAUUCCUGGUGUAGCGGUGAAAUGCGCAGAUAUCAGGAGGAACACCGGUGGCGAAGGCGGGUCUCUGGGCCGUUACUGACGCUGAGGAGCGAAAGCGUGGGGAGCGAACAGG
rnacentral:rRNA from 1 species